rnacentral:rRNA from 1 species
GUCCUGGUCUUGACAUCCCGGAGACCCUUAGGAAACUAGGGGUGCUUCCAUCUGGAAGAAUCUGGAGACAGGUGCUGCAUGGCUGUCGUCAGCUCGUGUCGUGAGAUGUUGGGUUAAGUCCCGCAACGAGCGCAACCCUUGCCUUUAGUUGCCAGCAGUUCGGCUGGGCACUCUAAAGGGACUGCCGGUGUUAAACCGGAGGAAGGUGGGGAUGACGUCAAGUCCUCAUGGCCUUUAUGACCAGGGCUACACACGUACUACAAUGGCCGAUACAAAGGGCAGCGACACUGCGAGGUGAAGCCAAUCCCGUAAAAUCGGUCUCAGUCCGGAUUGGAGUCUGCAACUCGACUCCAUGAAGUUGGAAUCGCUAGUAAUCGUGGAUCAGCAUGCCACGGUGAAUACGUUCCCGGGCCUU